GGCACACACAGGACUCAGUGAAACAAUUGUGUUUUUGGGUAGCAGAGUGGUGUAACUAGUUCUGGCAGCAUUGAGAACUCUCCUUUGUGGCUCAUGGCAUCUAGUUUCAUCCUUCUCUCAGGUGCACGCAGAGCUAUUUUGCUAAUUUUAUGUUUACAAGCUGCUGUAAAGUAUUUUAAUAGAAAAAUGGAUCCUCCUCUUUUCUUAAUACUCCCCAACUACUUUGAAAGCCUGUAAAGAGCACACCCUCAGAUGGACCCCACUCCCUAUAAACACCUUCAGAGGCUCCUGACCUGCAUGACUCCUGGGAAGGAGGUCCAGCUUCAUAGUAGCCAGCUGGAUCUCUUAUGACAACAUUCUGUACCUGUAUCAGAUGUAAAUAUUUUCUUUCUCGAAAUUACACCAUUUAAGGACACCUUUUAAUACUGUGAGGAAUUUUGCAUUUACGUAAUACUAUGUUAGUUGUAUUUCAAGACAUUCAGUAAGAAUUUGGCCCCAGUCCUGCAGUUAAUAAAAGGAAGGUGUGGGAGUCUCUCUGUGUAGAGCCACUACAAGCUUCCGUGGGUAAACAAAAUAGUUUAUUACUGAGUACUUUUUUGGUUUUACUUUUUUGUAUUACUAUUUUUUGGUAUUACUUUUUUGGUUAAAUUUUAGCUUUAGUCUGAAGUUUUAGUUGCUUAUAAAUCACGAGGAAGACAGUAUUAGACUAUGAUUAUCUGUGUUUGAACACAUAGCUUGGUUAAUCUCUGGGUGAGCAUCUAAACCCCGUAUUCAGGGAGCAUCCCUUUUAUUUUAAAAUACAUCAGAACUUUCCUAACCAGUAUAACUCCAAAAUCUAAAUGUGUGGAACAACAGGAACAAGGGCAAGGUUGUACAUUAGUUACAGAGUAUAAAACAUACCAGUGUAUUUAUUAAACAUCUUCUCUCAAGGUUUUAUAUUCCUUAUUAUCAAAUCAUUUAAAAAGCAGCAUGCUACCUCUAUUAGCAUGCUACCUAAGUUAAAAGGAGGACCAUACACAUGCAAGUAUUUUGCAAAGCGUGUAAGAUUGUAGUGCUCUAUAGUACUGCUUUAUCUGGUUUCAUGCUUUUGUACGCACAUAUACAGUCAUACAAGCUGCCAUGUGUAGAUAAUAACCCCCAUACAAAACCACAUGAUUAUUAAAAAAAAAAUACAUUCCAGCAGUAGAAAUUACAAAUUUUCUUGUUAUUUUGUGCCCACACAAUGUAUGAAGUUGAUGUAAUCAAAAGUUGUGAGUCUUUAUCAGAACUUAUAUGACUAAUUCAGCCUUUUAUCUAUCCUUGGCUAAUCAUGCAAAAGCCAGGAAUGAAGGAAUGCUGAACUGGUAAUAUAAUUGGUUGUAUAAAUCUGAGUGGGUAGGCAGCUGGAUUUUCUUCAGUCAGUUCUUCCUAGCCACUGACUUUGAUGCUGUAAUCCUUUUGAGCCAAACAUGGACUCAGGUUCCAAACACACAUUAAUGCCAUGAUAAGAAACUUGUUGCAGAAAGGUUGUGCUACCUUGAGGUGUUACUGCUCCCUCAGCCAAACUGGCAGAACUGAUCAUGUGAAGUUUCCUUGUUGGUUUCAGCACAAAGUGAGUAGCUCUCUAAGUUAUUUUUAAACAACCCAAGCUAUUUGACAUGAAAUGCAUAAAGCAUGCUCACGUGUCUUUCAUCAGCUCAGCUCUGGAUGCUAAAUUUGUGAUCACAAACAUCUGGCGCUUGACCUGUUCUUGCAGCUGGACUGAGUGCAGGUACAUAGUGUGCUCUGCACUGCAAAGGAGAGGAAGAGGAGAAGGAACACAGGAUGAUGUGAUCACCACCACUUUUUUUUAGCUUCAUUCAGUGGGAUAUCAGCAAGGGCAGCGGUUCCUUCACAAACACGUGGGCCUGAGUUCCGGAGCCCUAGAUCAUGUGCAGAACAUUCUAAACUUCUCUUUCUGUUGAAAUAAUAAAAAAUGUUGUCUUCUUUAAAACCAGUGAAGCUGCAAUAGAGUGAAGGGUAAUAUAAUUCCUAUUUUUCUUCUAGCUUAUGUUAGAGAAAUUAGAGAGACGUAGGAAAAGACCAUCAAAAAUUGUUGUUCCUAUUUCUCACUUUCAUUUGUUGCUUCAACCCGAUAUCUUUAAUGCUCUGCCAUAUAGGCAAAAUAGUUUCAAAAGUGUCCUGACAAGCUGACAUAGGGUUUCCUAAUGAUAUAUGUAAGUAUAGUAUUUCACCAUUUUCCAGGUCUUUAAAUAAAAAAAUUAUGUGAGUGGUAAGUGAUACUCCUGGCUUUCUAUUUUAAUAAAUCUCCAGUUUCCAAUGGAAUUGAAACACGAAGUAACUAAGCUUUGAUGUUUCUGUGUUCUAGAAGUGAUUAUGUCUUCUUCUGGCCCAUUCUGGUAUAUUACUGAGGAAGAUAUUUCACAUUUCAGAUGGCAUAAAUACUGACUGUGAGAUUUCAAGUUUAUUUACACGUGUAAUGUUGUACAGAGACUUGUUCAGCCAAUUACUUGUAUAUUUUGGAUACUAUACAGACAAAAUCAGAAAUUCUACCUUGGGUAACUCUGGUUUGGUUGCUCUUUCUGUCUCCCUGUCCUUUAAAUUUAAUAUUCUCCAUUGUUUGACAUCUUGCAUGCCUUUGUUUUAAUGCCCAGCUCUCCUCCUUUGGUGCAAAGACAGCUACGCUUUUUUGUUGUUUAGUAAAAUGAUUUUGUAUAUUAUAUUCUCUUACAGUUGUAACACAUGAAAUCACUCUGAUUGCAUGGUACUCUGUAGGUGUAAGAUAACAAUCAUAUUAAUUAGAUGCAGGUGUUGACUAAUGUCAAUGGCUACCAUAUGAUACAAGCUGUGCAAGGCAGAGUAAGACGCUGAGGCAGAUUCCCUGUUACUAUAAUAUUACUGCCUGCAUGUUAUGAAAGAAUUUAGUCCAAACUCCCUGUAGAAUCCUUCCCCUAAGUUUAAAACACAGAUUAUGCCUUAAAUAUUUGACACAAAACAUUAUUUCUUUUCUCCUGCCAACUUAGGCAAUGCCAGAAAAAAUAGGAUCAGUGUUCUCAAGCAAAGGGAUAAUUUAAUUCAAGCCACAGUUAGAAUAUAUCUAGAUUAAAAAAAAAAAAAUAAACAAAAAAGGAGAGAACACUGAACCCACCUUGGAGUCCAGAGAGAUUCCAGAGAGCAGACUCUGGUUGACUGGAAGCCUAAAGACUCCUUCCUGUUGCUGUUGGGUUUAAAAUAGUUAAAAUCUGUUCCAUCUCAGUAGCUACAAUUAUUGUAUCGGGGAAAAAAUUAACAUUAAAAAAAAAUUGACUUAGAAGAAUGAAUUAAAUAUUUUUAUUCUAAAAUGUUGUAUCUACAGAAAAGAAACCAGUGCAUUUUGCUAAAGCCUGAUGAUCUGCUUUGUCAUGAAGCAAGUCUUUAUAAAUAAAGUCUUUAGCAUUCAUUUCCUGUUGUCUGGCAGUAACUCAUUCAUGAAGGUUCUGAAUAUUCAUCUUGUUACUGUUUUUCUUCUAUUUUAGAAAAUGCUUCCACUGAUUCCCCAAAAGCUAUUUUUCUGCUUUGUAUCUUUUCUCUCGGUUGAUGUGGAGAUGGUUGUUUUGGACUUUUAUUUUUAACUUCAGAGGCAGUCAUUUUUAAUUGGAGGGCAGUAGAUAAGCUGAAAAAAAAAACAACCCUCAAAAGAUACAGACAUGUUUGUAUUUUGCUUCUGGAGAAAUUCAAAGGUUUUUUUGAAUGCUGCAUUAAAGAAGUCAUGGUGAACAGACAGGGAAAACAGCCCUUGAAAAGUCAGCUCGUCUGUCUUCUGCUCUGAAGGUUUACCCAGGGAGGCCUGAUCCCUUCUUGGCAGAGAUGUGGCCACCAUGUUCUCAGAAACCUCUUUCCAGCCUCUCCAAGGAAUCAAGUCCAUUAAUUGCCCUCCUGAUAGUAAGCUCUUCCUAAUGUCUAACCUGAUUCUCUCUUGUAGCAAUUUUAGUCCACUUCAGUCUGUUCUCUCUGCAGUAGCCUUUACGCAUCUGAAGAUCAUUACCAUGUUUCCCCACAGUGGUUUCACCUGUAGAUGAAGGACUGGGUUGUUCCAAUGUUUCUCAGGCUCAGAGAGCUCUCCCGGCUUUCCUCUGUGCUCUAUCCACUUGGUUCCUGGUGUUGCUGGAAUUGAUGCUUUAGACUGGACAUGGUUCUCCAUCUGAACAAAGCCUUCCUAUUGACACUUUUCCAGGAUGGUAUUUGCUUUUCUUGCAACCUGGCGGCGUUGCUGACGCAUGUCCAGUGUCUGACCUCUGAUCCCUUGUAUGGCACUGCUGCCCAGUCAGUCCUUCCCCGUCUUGUAUUUUGCUCAAUCAGUUACUCCCAAGUGCUGUACUUUGUGUUUCUCCUUAGUGAAAUGUGUUCCUUUUUUUUUAAUGCCCACAUGCACACCCACAUGCAUUUCUGUCAAGUGUUCUCUGUUUCUUCAGCUCAUCCUUCUGAACUCAAACCCUGUUGUCUUUGUAGUGCAGGUCUUGCAGCUUUUCCGAGCACUGCAUCCUUUGCAGAGCUAAUAGGAGCUCUAUUGAUUCUGUUAUGCAAAUCAUUAACAAAAAAUACUGACAAAUGCUAAAUCUGGUAAGUAUUGUAGAAUGUAGGGGGCAUGGAAUGUUCCGAUCUAUGACUCCUCAUUACUGCGGCUUAUAGGACAGCCUUGGUGGGGACAGAGCUAUUCCACUGAGAUGCCAAGAUUUGGCAGAGGUGGGAUGGGGUUGUGUCAAAUCCCAGGUUUGGGAGCACUGUGCAUCUUCCACAGCGCUGCUGAGGGAAGUCCUUUUGAAGCCUAAAGCAGAAAAGCAAUAACCUGGAAUAUCUGUGCUGUCCACACAACCAGGGGAUUUGCAUUUGUUGUGGUCUUUUCCUCUUUGUGCUUGAACUAGAAGGGAACAAACGUUCAGGAACAGAGCUGUAGUAGUGGUCUGAGUGUAUGGGGUGUAGAUCCAUAGAUAGCCACAGAGCAUAUAUUCUUCUGUUUGUGGAAAAGUUGUUAAUAACUUUUGAAAGAAUGAAACCUUUUUUGCCCCUAACUUAAAUGCUGUCUAUUUUACAUUAAAACACUACAUUUUUUUUCCCCACAAAAGAUUAUGACAAGGAUUUUUUUCAUUUCUGUGAGGACUCUUCCAUGAAGAUGACUCAAUAUUUGGGUUUCACACAAGUUUUUCAAAAUCUCAUGUGUUUUAAACUAAUGUUUCUAUUAUAGUUAUUUUUUCAGUAGCUUCCAAUAAACAGAUACUUUAUAAGAGUGGUCUUUUGAUAGCAUGAAAAGUGCUUUUCUUCCCUACAACUUCCUGUAAAAUCUUUCCUUAUCCAAACAUGUAAUGAUGAUGAAUUUGCUGUUCUUGAUAACAAUGAUUGCACUCUUCUCCAAGGCCAGAUACAAAAAACACAGUUUGAGCUGUGCUGACAUUAUACUUUCUGUUAUUUAGCUCAGCAGAUGAAAACGUAAAGAUCCACCAACAAACAUUUUAGAACUUUGUGCCUGUGAACCCUUGAAAUUAACUGCAAAAAUAGUUGAGAUUUACUCUGUCUCAAGUAUGGUAAAGCACAAUUUCUGAGGCCAAACUUACUCUUCUGUAAGGACUUGUAGAAGUAUUUGCUUAUUUAAUGCAAAGAAAGUUACCAAAUAUUACACCUGAUACAUAUUACAUGGAUUCUAAAUUAUAGCCCUGCACUUGAUGUGAAAGGAGUAAAACAAGGAAAAAUAGCAUUAAAGAAUGAUGUGCCAGCCAGGUAACUUUCCCUUAAGAUAUAAAUGAUUCAGAGAGGCUGAUUCUUGAUACUGUGUUACUAAGUCAUCAGCAGCGCAGCCUGGAAUAAAGAAAUGUUUUGUUUUCUAUUGCUUUAUGUAGCUGUUGACUGAAUGACACUGCAUUAUAUCAGCAAAAUAUAAACAGAAUCACGUCCAUAGUAACUCAUACAUUGGAAUAAUUGAUAGGUGAUUUUUGCCACUGAAGAGGUCCAGCUCUGGUGCAGCCACGUUUUGAGGAAAUGGGUCAGGAUUUUGCUCAAUACAAGACCAGCUCAAAAGAGAGCCUGAAGUUACCUAAUCAGUAACACAUGGCCGGAACUGAAACAUAUUUAUUGAAAAAAGAGCUGAAGAAAUGCAAGAUGAAAAGAUAAGGCAGUGGUCUCCAUGGUUUAUUAAAGUUUGGAAAUGUGCAUCCUAAGAGACUAACUUGCCCCAUAAUUGUGCAACUCUCAUUCAAAGUUGGUAUUUUUAAUUUCAAGGAGUAUUGUCAUUUGAAAUGAGAAGUUGAAACAUGAAUAGAUAUUUUUAAUUGUAGUGCUUUACAAUGCAUAAACAACAGUUCAAAAUUUACUUAAAAAAAAAAAAAAAGAUGAUUUCUUUUUGUUCUUUUACCCCCAAAAGGAGGUAAAAAGCCAAAGGGCUAGGACACUCUUGAAUUGUUUCAUCUGGCUUGCUCUUGAGUAACAGAUGCUGUUGACUGACUGAAAAUAAUCAGUCAGGAUUGACUGAAGGUUUAGGUGUGAGUGUGACAGCCAAUAUGAGACAAGCCUAUGUAUGGCAGCUGCCAUUGCACUGAAGGGACAGACUUUCUCGGCCACUGUCACUUGCCUGCUUUCUCCUAACCAGAAAAUUUUGCCCCUUUCCCUACCCCAGCCUCCAUCAGAAUUGGAUGUCUUGUUACUCGUUAACAAUGUUCUGUCAAAAUGAUUUGAGUGAGUUUAAAUACUUCAUAGUGAGGGAUUAAGAAAAAAAAAGGUGUCUGGAUCAAUUUUGACAGAACUGGGUUAGAGGAGACGAAGUCUGCAAUGAUGCCAGCAGAUGGGAAGGUGCAGCCAUCUCCCUUGGGAUGGGUGGUGAGGCCCGAACGAGCAGCCUGGGGAUGUCUGUGUGGGUAACUACUGACACUGGAUCUGCCAUAGCCAGAGGAAUCUGCCUGACUGGGCCUCUCUUUAAUCCUACACUGACCUUCAGUGCAUUUGUGAGUUAACAAAGAUGUAUAAGGUGAUUACAGCAUCGGUGAAACAACAUCACAACAUCUGAAGAGAUAAGCAAUCACAAAAAAACAUAGGAAUUACUAGCUGUACUUUGUAGUCUUUGGGGGUGAGGAGGAACAGCUUUGUAACCUGUUUAAUGCUGUGAUUAAUUUGACUUUGGAAGUCACAGUUGCUGUUAAAUUCCUUUUCUUCUCGCCUUCACUGAAGGCAUCAGGAACUCUUCACACCUCUCCAUUGCUGUUUCUGAGCCACAGGAGGAUACUUUUCAGGAUAUCAGUCUGUGUUACAAAGAUAAUGUCAACUGAGGGAGUCCUCCCUCCUCCCAUGUUCCUCCUCUUCUGUUAGACUCCCAUUGCCAGCCCUACACCACUGUACUUCAGCCCGUCCAGGAUCACCUGAGCCUUCCUGUGGUCCACCUUCUUGUGGAGCCCACAGACAGACCCAUGGGUAUUGCUGGGGAGGAAACAAACUGGUGUGGUGCAAGAGGAGAAGCUCAGGCUUCUGUAACUGGUUUUGCUGCUGAAGCCAGUGGGAAGUGAAGCAACCACUGAGACAAUCAUUUCUCAUAUUAUUCAGAUGUAAAUACAUAAGAUGUUCCAGAAGUAGUUUGGAAGAGCGUACAGAUGACUGGGCACAAGUAUGACAAGUUCAACUUUUUUUAGGAUGAAUAGUCUGAGAAUAUUCACGUUUUGUGCUUUUCACCAUGACAAAACAAGAGCAACCGAGUUUUGCCUUUGGCUUUAAGAUUCGUAGUACAUUGCAGUGCGAUAUAUUUAGUCUAAUUACUGAAGCCAUUUACAUUUGAAAAUUUCUAUUUACAUGCAUAAGAAAUAAAGUGUUUACUUAACAUUUUAGAUCCUGUAGAAAAAUUGCUCCUUUUAAAAACCAGCUAUUUUGUCAUUGGCCAAAAGCGCCAGAACCAUUAUAACAUUGUUCUUUAGUGAAAGUCUUGUGUCGUUUUGGUUUGAGUUUUAAAACCUGUAUCAUUCGAGCAGCAGCAAGUCCUGUUGUACUGUAUCCUCCUGUGCUUGUGAACAGAAUCCCAGGCAUUUGAGAACAGUGACAAUAUGAGCAACGAACAGUUCUUCUGGCUAAGCACUGAUUUAUAGAAUUCCUUGUAGGCAGAUUACAAGCAGUCAACAAUUCAAAAGACUUCAGUGACCCUAGAAAUAUUUCCAAGAAAAUGUUACUGCUUUUAAUAAUGACUGUGCAAUACACAGUAAGUAUAAAUGCAAGAGGUGAAGGGAUCAACAAGAGUUCUCAGCCACACUAAUUUAACACAGGAAGCAAUGGUGAAAGUCUAAGGUUAAGCUGUACAGUUAAAGCCAGAACGGAAACUGGGGCAAGAAAAAGAAAACAUGGUGUCGUAAAAAUGAUGACAUCUCUAUUUACACUAGGAAGAUGACUCACAGUGCAGUUGUAAAACCUGGGUACAAAAAGUUCUAAGGAAUUCUAGAAAGUAAGGCAGAUUUGGUCAUUGUGUCAAAUAUAUCAAUUUCUCCUUUUGUUUAAAUGAUCAGGCAUUCAGAUAAAGCAUAUGGCAAAUCACAUGCUUAGGAUACUCAGCGUAGUUAUGAAACACAGUAAUGUGUCAAUGAGUUCUCUUCAGGGUAGGUAGAGGAGGGCUUUACUUUAAUGAAGGUGUUUAAUAACAGUAAAAAUUGCGUAGUUUUGAGAGAAAAGGAAAGCAAGUUCUAACUUGCUUUAAUCUAGAAUGCAUCAACUGGUUAAAACAGCUGAGGGAGGUGUCAGGAGUAUAUAGUUUCAAGUGAGCCGAAAUACAAAUGCUGCAAGGAGUUACUUUCUCUGGCUUUGGAUCAUUAAAGCUCUUAAGCGCAUUCUUAACUUUAAGUGCAAACAUUCCCAUGGCAGUGAUUGGGUGGUGACUGGACAGCUUGCAAGAUCAGUUCUUAAAAUGUUUAUUUUCUUUCAUUAUUUUGCAUAUGUUUGGCAGGUUCUCCUACGGCAAAGCAGCAGCAAGCUGCUACAUGUCCCUUUUAACUGUGGGUACAGAGGAAUUUACAAUGUCAGCGUUCUGUAGUGUGUUGUAAAAUCUGUGCCACUACCUCAAGUCUUCUCCGUAGAUUUAUUGUAGCACAGAAAUGUUGAGAAACAAACACAGUUCAAUCAGGGGGAGUGAGAGAUAGGGCUUUUUUUAAUCAUCAAAAGACUUCCUUUGUGAGAAAGUUCAAGGAGCCAGAGCCACGUAUCACAAGAAUUGUUACCUCACAUGUGAGGUUGGGUAACUGAUUAACAGAACUGUAUUGUGCACUCACUGGAGUCCUGGCACUGGGUACACGAAAGGAACCUCCUAUGAAGUUCAUAGAGAAAUAUUCUGGCUGUCAUCUUUGUGAAGAGAACAAUCUGCUUUUAUUUCUCAAUAAUAAAGCGUUUUGAGUUUAUGCAAGUUCACCAAUGCAAGAUGGUCAUUAACUGUUUAAGUGACAGUCUGACUACUGCACGUUGUUUUUGUUUCUUUCUGUUUCAUUUGCGAUCGAUUUACCAUUAGUUUUCACUUACAACCUCUGUGCUUCUGGUGAAGAAGGAACAACCUUCCACAUGUAUGCAGGUUACAGCCUGAAUUAUGUAAAGUAUCAGUUCCCUUACAUUUCAGUGUAGCCUCUGUCUUUAUUCUGUGUUUGGACAACGCUUAGUGAAGUAGAAUAACAUCCUCUUCUCCAUUGUUUCUAUUGAUUCUGUGUCUUGGGAUUUUGACAGGAAAGGGGCUCCGGUUUAAAGCCAGUUGGAGUUAGCAGUCGAGGGUUUCAGGAAUGCCGACAUUAUCACAGAAGUGGCCAGAGCAGUGAGUCUGCAUGUGGGUCCAAGAUUUUCCCCAGCCUUCCUUUGAGCAGUGGUUCUGGUUACAGCUAACUAAAAAUUACAGUUCAUUCUGACCUUCUUCACCGAGGCUGGUUUGCAGCACCUAGACAGCUGAGAUCUGCUUUGUGCCGAGCACUUCCACGCAACGUAAUAAUAGGCAGUUCUUGUGCUAACACUGCUGUCAGUAAUAGGGAGUUUAUAACUGUUCUUUAAGAGAAUGCAAGUGGAGAAUAGAGUGAUGUGUUGUUGGAUGUUUCCUUAAAAAUGCUACAAAAAGUUAAAACGUUGUCAAGCGGGCAGCACUGCUUGUGUCUGUGCUUUUAUCAUCUGGAGAGGGUCUGGGAGCUAGACUGAGGAGGCUGUCCAGUUUGUUUUGGAGGUUAUUUGUUGACUGUAACUUCAGUAGCUGAAAGCAGGUGCUGCUUGGAAGACGCCGUAGGACUUGGAAUUGUCUAUGUCUGAGGAAGGAAGCUUUUUAGAAACCAUUGGCUCUUGCUGCCUCCUUCACAUGAAUAUAAUGAUGUUGCUCCAGUGUUCCACCAUGAAAAAUAUCAAUCAAGUCUCCUAGAUGUGCUUUGUGGGAGAAAAUAUGAGCAGUAAGGUGUGUGCCACCACUGGUAGCAUACACGAUUGUGUGCCACAAUGACAGAAUCUCUUGCUAUGGAGUAGCUGAAUGAACCAUUAAUUCAACCUUCCUUCUGAAAAGAGAAAGCUUAGUAGUCUUACUGAGUAUUGUACUGAUACUUAUCUAUGUAAAAUACUUUUUUUUCCUUAACGAAUUCCCAUUAAUUGUUUAUAGCUAACUCAAAUUUAUUCAAAAAGUUUUUGUGAUACAAUUUAUAAGAAUUCUUUGGGAUCUCUGGGUGCUUCCCAACUGUUGAAUUGUUGAUGUGUUUUGUUAAACUUCUUACUCUGAUCAUCACUUCAUGUAUUAACAUAUUCAUGAUGAGUGAAUGCAAAAGGGAACACAAAGACAAGAAACACAUUCAAAUAUUAAUUUGAGUGAAUACUUUUUGAAGAUUUGAUCUGGUGCUAUUCAAAAUGCGGUGCUUCUGAAUCAGGAGCAAUAAAGUCACAAGAGAGAGUGCUGGAAGUAAUCCAUGGACAUCCUGUUCUUAUUAGAAGUGGGCUAAAGCAUUCUGACAGAUUUCAAACCUGCUGAAAUAUUCUUCUUCUUUUUUUUUUUUUACUUCUUUUACACCAGCAUUACUGGGAGCACAUCUUACUUAUCUGUUUAAGGGUGGCUAUGAAAAAGGGAGAAGACAGAGAUAUAUUUGGUGAAAAAUAGGGUGAGAAAAGAAGCAGAGAGUUGACUGUGUGAAGAAAGAAAGAGACACCCUGGGAAAGCAGCAGAGAAAAGGGAAAGAAAAGAAAUCCUAAUUUUUUAAAAUAUGACUCCUUAGAACUGAGACUGUGCCAAACCCUGGACUUGGAGGCUAUUCUGUCCUUAAUACAUUGCACAUGAUUGUCUGUAGCUAGAAAAACAUUUUUUGUGGGUUUUGAAAAAUCAAAUUACCCUUAUAUGAAAUAAAACAAACUAUGAGUUUAUAUGGCAGAGUAAAAAGAAACCAAAUUCAUUUUGCAAGCCUUUAGAGAGUUUAAAAAUCCCUUAGGCUCACAAAAACUCAAACUCCGUAGCGUUCAAAUAUUCAAAUGUUGUAGGAGGUACAAUUGACUUAAUUCCAUUUACUUUAAUUAAGUUUUCAUCAGACUCUUUCUAUUUAGUUAACUGAUUCUCCUCUCAAGGCAUGUUUAUAUUAAGGGCAAGAUCCAAAAUACCAUAUGGAUACUUCCUGUGCAAUCUAGAUAGCCAUUAAGUAAGGAGAUUGGUUAUAAAACCUGUGUAACUUUAAAAGCUACAAGACUGUAGGCAGUUUGGUAUCCCUUAGGAAUGCCUUUCUGCUCCAUAUCUGAAGCAUGGGCCUCAAGCUUAGCAUCUUGGCAGACCAGCAGGGUCUGUUCUCAGAUGCCAUGCUGCCUACCUAAGCUUAUGACACUCAAACCUGCAAUGCCAGCUUGUCUUCUACAAAAGUGAUACCUAUUGAGUGGGUGACAAAACUGGGAUGUACAUGGAGUUAGAUGCUGAAACAAGGUGUGUAAAGCCUCUGAUAGGCAAUAGAGACACCAUGCAAUUGAGUGGAGGUAAGAACGGCUGUCCAGGGUCACGACAAGAAUUCACCCAGCCCUGCUACUUGACUGGCAGGGAGGCAUGAUGGUCAUGAAGGUGAUUUCCUAGGUAGGGCCUCAUUCCUUGUACUUCUGGUGACCUGACCACUGAAAAUUCUGUGAUUUAGGGAACUACACUGUAAAAUUUGUAAUGUGAGAUACUGUAUAUGUAUGUUUUCUUAAAUUAAAACACAAUCCCACCUCCAAACUCCCAUUAAUGUUAAGUGGAUGCCUAGAGUAGAACACAGUAAACAGUGAUCUGAUUGCAGCUUAAAUCUAUACCAACUUGGAACAUCUUUGAUGUUCCUUGUAAGGAAUUGCACCCAUUUCAUGAAAACUGUAUUUUUCAGUUCUGUUUGAAUUCUCAUUUGGGGCUUCAUUUGAUAUCCCCCACUCUUGAACUGGAAGAUUCAGCAAAACGUUGGUGCCAGACUACCUUCACCAUGACACGACUUCACACACUUCCGCCACAUCCCUCCUCAGUCAUCUGUUUCCCAGACUGCAGAGUCCCGAAUUGUUUGAUAGUUUCCUUGUAUGGAAGUUGUUGCAGACCUCUGACCAUAUGUCCUUGCUCUUUCCCAGUUUUUCUGUGUUACGUGCCUUCACUAUUGCUCUAUAGAAUAAUGUGUAGUUCAUUUUUCUUAGGAUACAUUUAUAUAUACAUUUGUAUAUAUGUGAGGCUAUGCAAGUACUUGCGAUGUUUUUCACCUGCUCUUCUACCAUGGAUAUCUUCUUCCACAGAUCUGUUUAUUUAUGAUUGUACCUGGACCAGGUUUGGGAAUUUGGGUGUCACAGAGUCACAGAAUUGUAGGGUUUGGGAGGAACCUCUGGAGAUCAUGUCCUACCUUCCAGGCCAGUAUGUGACCUCUUGACCAGAGCUGCACAGUCUCUUUCUCAGACUCAUUAAAGAAUGAGAUCAGCAGUUAUGCCGUGUACAAUGCAGCUGCUCCAAGGCACCCUUACUGCAGCCUGGCUCCAGCCCUACUGCUUUAGGUCAUCUCUGAGAUGACAGAGCUUGUGGUCUGUUUGGAACUGGGUGCUGGUUGUCCUUAUCUUCUAUAAUUGCUUAGCUGUUGUAACACUUUUUCUCUUCCUCCUCUAAGUGAAAUAGCAUCUACUGUGAUACUUCCUCAUGUGCUUGCUCCUAUGGAUGUACUGUGUGUGUCCAUGUGCCAGGCAGUGUUAGUAAGCAUGCAGAGUGAGACCUUGAGCCCCCUACAGACAGGUACCAAAUUGCGUUCCAAAAACACUGCUGACAAAAAUGGAGAUGAGAGGAUAUUUCAAGAUUUGCAGUUUGUGUUUAAGUGUUUUAUGUCUGCUUACAUCCAACUUAGGUGCCCAUGAUCUCAUGAGAAGCUAUUUCUUGGCCUCCUUACACAUAAGUAUUUCUAUCUUACAGAAGUAGUUCCCCAUCUGAGGUGGGUGCAUGGACACAGGUGGACUAAAUAUGCACUGAUACUAUCUUAUUUAGGACUGAGCAAGUCCGCAGUUUAACUGAAUCUGUAGUAGAUGUCACUGAAUUGCACAGAAGGCUGCUGAUAAGCUAUUGCAUCAUCAUAGGUGCCUACCACAUACAGCAGUUUCGACUUGGAUAUGAGGUCAAUAAUGUCCUCAGUGGCUGACAUAGGAGGCAGAGGUUACAGUAAGGAUCUGUCUCUACAGUUUCACAAAGAUAGUGUUACUGUUAUCCUUGCUUAACACAUCAGCUUGGGAUACAGAGUGAUUUUGAUGUAUGUAAGCCAUGAUCGCUCAAAGUCUUUGAAAGAGCCAAGAGGUGACAUCUGUUCUCCUGCAUCCUAGUAUGGUAAUUGGCCACUGAAGCCUUUUUUGUUCAUUAUUCAGAUAUUUUGGAAAAAUUAUUAUCACUGUUCUUAUGCUUUCUACUCUUCUCCUGAGAACAAAACAAAUCCUUCCGAGGGAAAAAAAGAGUUAGGUAAUGAUGGUCUGUGGAGUUGGUGAGGAUAAUCUUUCUUUCAGUGACUUGUCUUUUCCUGUAAGCACCUCCAAAUGUUAUUGCUCUCCAUGGAGCAGGUUUAUAAAAUAAUGGGUAAGUCAUACUAAUUAUCCUGUGAGCUGUAAGGGCUGCCUGCUUUUCCUUUAGAGAAAGUAAGUCAGCUUUCACAUCUUUGCUAAAAUUCAUAGCAAGAUAGUGAAGGAGCUCAUUUCUCACUGCAGUAAAGGAAGAAGGAAAUGGCAUAGAAGUUUGUCUCUGAAUUUGCCUAUUUCAGUCUGCAAAUAAUGAUUUGUAAAUAGAAUUUUUGGGUGAUAUUUUCUCUACCAUGUGCUAACAACACGCUGCUCUGUUCAGCUGCUUGAAACAAAUAGAACUGAUGCUGAAAAGUGAAAUAAAAGCAUCACUAAAUUAGCUGCAUAACAUCCAGAUCAAUGUACCUUUCUAAGAGCAAAAUAGCGGGUACUACUCUUCUUUGGGUCAUAGCAACUGGUUGAUCAGUGUCAACAGAUAUGUUAUAGCUCCAGAAUGAGCUAUGAAAAUGCCAAGGUUAGAUUUUCUUAUUUGAUACUUCAUCACAAAAUUUCAACCGGACUGGAUUCCCCACAGGGGAUCUUAAACUAGAAAUCCAGAUAUAUCUGGGAAUAACUUUAGUGAGCAAAAAGUGAUAAUAAUAAAAAUAAUGUGUACUUCGUAUAGAGGAGUAUAAGUGUUUUUCUAAAUACCAAUCAUUUCCAGUAAUAUCCAUUUCAUCCACUUCAUUUAUUAUGGUCUGUAUGAACCUCUUUGUAUCUGUGAAUACAGAAUAAAGAAUUCUGCUCUCAAAGCCUUGAAAGCUCUAUUACUAGUGAAUUCAUGAGGAAAAUGCUGCUGACAAAAUAUAUACAUAUAUAUUUUGACCCAUUGCCUCUUUAUCCCCAUUUAAGUGACUAGUGUUAACAUCACUGUCCAAGUAUAUUCACGCACAGGAGCUUUUACUUUGCUUUCCAUCACUGAGUAGCUGUGCCUACUGAACGUAGUUGCUAUCAUGUUAAAAGCAUGUGAGAUGACCUGCCCAAGUAUUCUCUUGCUGAUUCCUCUUUUCUGGAAUGUAUUCACAUAAAUGUUCCUUCUAACUUCCUUUGUUUAGUAAUGCGUGAGUGCUUACAUCCUGGUAUUGAAAUUAUUUUUUGCUUAUAGUUGAACUGAUGUCAUGCAUCAUACACACUAAUAUAAUGUAUAUUAUAUAUAGGUACUCAUGCUUUUUUUUUAGCCACUCUUUUAUGAAUAGUGAAGAAUGAAUGAGGACAUAUCAAGUUAUGUAAUUAUUGAUGUCUGCCUUGAGCACUGUAACCUGUUAAUGUCAAAAUAGAAACCUGCAUGGUUAUUACUGCAAAAUAAGGUCACAAAUAAGGAGUAGAAAUACUCAAAAUGCAUUGGAAUAUGAGGACAAGUAUAUAAUCAAAAGUUGUUGUCAGCUAUAUUAAAGAAAAUUAUAGUUGAUUUAACUUAAUGGUAUGUUCAUAUCUGAAGUAAGAAAUGCAUUAGUUUUGAAGAAGUUUAACCAAAGCUAUUUUACAGUACAGAAAAAUUUUAAAACAUACAUUGUACAGUUCAUGGAUCAGAUUUUUGUUUGUAUUCUGUUUAGAGCUACCAUUCGAAUGAUUUGUGAAUAACAUUCUGCAGGGUAUAUUUUUUAUUCUUCUGCCUCCAAAACAAGAAUUGUUUUUAUUUAUACAAAAGAAAAGCUUAAUCAAAAUAGAAUAUAAUGUAGUUCUGAACCAGGUAAUAUUUUUUUGGAAACAAUUAUCUGUUUAUUAAACAAUAAUGAUUUUCCUGUAGUUUUGUGUCUAAGUAUUAUUUUCUCAUUUUCCAGAGAUGGUUUUUUACAGUGCUGUUGAUUCUGUUGCUACUGGAGUAUCAAAAAAAUCUGCUGCUCAUAAAUAGAAACUUAUUAAGAGUUAUAGUUCCUACCAAUGUUGAAAAUAAACUCUCAUUAG